rnacentral:rRNA from 1 species
CAUAGCGGAGGAAAGAAACCAACAGGGAUUGCCCUAGUAACGGCGAGUGAAGCGGCAACAGCUCAAAUUUGAAAUCUGGCUCCUUUGGGGUCCGAGUUGUAAUUUGCAGAGGGAGCUUUUGGCGUCGGUCGUGGUCUAAGUUCCUUGGAACAGGACGUCACAGAGGGUGAGAAUCCCGUACGUGGCCGCCGGCCUUCGCCUUGUAAAGCCCCUUCGACGAGUCGAGUUGUUUGGGAAUGCAGCUCUAAAUGGGAGGUAAAUUUCUUCUAAAGCUAAAUACCCGCCAGAGACCGAUAGCGCACAAGUAGAGUGAUCGAAAGAUGAAAAGCACUUUGGAAAGAGAGUGAAAAAGCACGUGAAAUUGUUGAAAGGGAAGCGCUUGCGGCCAGACGUGCCCGCGGUUGAUCAUCCAGGCUCCAGCCUGGUGCACUCCUCCGCGGGCAGGCCAGCAUCAGUUCGGGCGGUCGGAUAAAGGCCUCUAUCACGUACCACCCCUCGGGGUGGCCUUAUAGGGGAGGCGCAACACGGCCAGCCCGGACUGAGGUUCCGCGCAUCUGCUAGGAUGCUGGCGUAAUGGCAGCAAGCGGCCCGUCUUGAAACACGGACCAAGGAGUCUAACAUCUAUGCGAGUGUUUGGGUGUCAAGCCCGAGCGCGCAAUGAAAGUGAACGGAGGUGGGAACCCUUACCGGUGCACCAUCGACCGAUCCUGAUGUCUUCGGAUGGAUUUGAGUAAGAGCAUAGCUGUUGGGACCCGAAAGAUGGUGAACUAUGCCUGAAUAGGGUGAAGCCAGAGGAAACUCUGGUGGAGGCUCGCAGCGGUUCUGACGUGCAAAUCGAUCGUCAAAUUUGGGCAUA